CGAUAAUGUAUCUUAGUUAUUUUGAUUAAGUGCUGGUCGUCCUGUACGCUCAUGAAUUUAUUUGAAGCAUAUUCGGUCUCAAAAAUGCACUGGCAACAGCUCCAUUUGUGACUGCUCGAUUGAGUGUUACUCGUUGGAAUUAUGUGUCGAACCCAAGUCGAGGGGCGGGUUUUGGCCUGGACAUUAUCAGUGGCCAGAAACAACGAAACAUCGCGUAACCCAGCGAUUUUAUAAUUGCUCGAGACACAACAACAAAACUACAACUGCGAGUACAUAAUAACAAGUUUCUCUUAUGUACUUGGCAAUUAUGAAAUAUAUCACUGACAUAGAAAUUAAACAACAUGGUAAAUACAUAGAUGUACACAGUAUCCCGUCUAAUUUUGCA